rnacentral:rRNA from 1 species
AACGAACGCUGGCGGCAUGCCUAACACAUGCAAGUCGAACGAGACCUUCGGGUCUAGUGGCGCACGGGUGCGUAACGCGUGGGAACCUGCCCUUAGGUUCGGAAUAACUCCCCGAAAGGGGUGCUAAUACCGGAUAAUGUCUUCGGACCAAAGAUUUAUCGCCUUUGGAUGGGCCCGCGUUGGAUUAGCUAGUUGGUAGGGUAAAAGCCUACCAAGGCGACGAUCCAUAGCUGGUCUGAGAGGAUGAUCAGCCACACUGGGACUGAGACACGGCCCAGACUCCUACGGGAGGCAGCAGUGGGGAAUAUUGGACAAUGGGCGAAAGCCUGAGCCAGCAAUGCCGCGUGAGUGAUGAAGGCCUUAGGGUUGUAAAGCUCUUUUACCCGGGAUGAUAAUGACAGUACCGGGAGAAGAAGCACCGGCUAACUCCGUG